rnacentral:rRNA from 1 species
UACGUAGGGGGCAAGCGUUGUCCGGAAUCAUUGGGCGUAAAGCGCGUGUAGGCGGCUCGGUAAGUCCGCUCUGAAAGUCCAGGGCUCAACCCUGGGAUGCCGGUGGAUACUGUCGGGCUCGAGUCCGGAAGAGGAGUGUGGAAUUCCUGGUGUAGCGGUGAAAUGCGCAGAUAUCAGGAAGAACACCCGUGGCGAAGGCGGCUCUCUGGGACGGUACUGACGCUGAGACGCGAAAGCGUGGGGAGCGAACAGG